rnacentral:tRNA from 1 species
CGAAACAUAGCUUAAUUAAAGCCCCUUGCUUACACCAAGAAAACAUUUGUGAAACUCAAAUUGCUUCGA